CCGGGCCCGGGGCGCGUGCUUAACACAUGCAAGUCGAGCGGUAAGGCCCUUCGGGGUACACGAGCGGCGAACGGGUGAGUAACACGUGGGUGAUCUGCCUUGCACUCUGGGAUAAGCCUGGGAAACUGGGUCUAAUACCGGAUAUGAGCCUGAACUGCAUGGUUCGGGUUGGAAAGAUUUAUCGGUGCGAGAUGGGCCCGCGGCCUAUCAGCUUGUUGGUGAGGUAACGGCUCACCAAGGCGACGACGGGUAGCCGGCCUGAGAGGGCGACCGGCCACACUGGGACUGAGACACGGCCCAGACUCCUACGGGAGGCAGCAGUGGGGAAUAUUGCACAAUGGGCGAAAGCCUGAUGCAGCGACGCCGCGUGAGGGAUGACGGCCUUCGGGUUGUAAACCUCUUUCGACAGGGACGAAGCGCAAGUGACGGUACCUGUAGAAGAAGCACCGGCUAACUACGUGCCMRSMRSCGCGGGUAAUACGUAGGGUGCGAGCGUKKYCSGGAAUKACUGGGCGUAAAAGAGCUUGUAGGCGGUCUGUCACGUCGGUCGUGAAAACUCACAGCUCAACUGUGGGCCUGCGGUCGAUACGGGCAGACUAGAGUACUUCAGGGGAGACUGGAAUUCCUGGUGUAGCGGUGAAAUGCGCAGAUAUCAGGAGGAACACCGGUGGCGAAGGCGGGUCUCUGGGAAGUAACUGACGCUGAGAAGCGAAAGCGUGGGUAGCGAACAGGAUUAGAUACCCUGGUAGUCCACGCCGUAAACGGUGGGUACUAGGUGUGGGUUUCCUUCCACGGGAUCCGUGCCGUAGCUAACGCAUUAAGUACCCCGCCUGGGGAGUACGGSCSSMARGCUAAAACUCAAAGGAAUUUGACGGGGGCCCGCACAAGCGGCGGGAGCAUGUGGAUUAAUUCGAUGCAACGCGAAGAACCUUACCCUGGGUUUGACAUACACCGGAAAGCCGUAGAGAWWMSGCCCCCCCUUGUGGUYSGUGUACAGGUGKKGCAUGGCUGUCGUCAGCUCGUGUCGUGAGAUGUUGGGUUAAGUCCCGCAACGAGCGCAACCCUUAUCUUAUGUUGCCAGCGCGUAAUGGCGGGGACUCGUGAGAGACUGCCGGGGUCAACUCGGAGGAAGGUGGGGACGACGUCAAGUCAUCAUGCCCCUUAUGUCCAGGGCUUCACACAUGCUACAAUGGCCGGUACAGAGGGCUGCGAUACCGUGAGGUGGAGCGAAUCCCUUAAAGCCGGUCUCAGUUCGGAUCGGGGUCUGCAACUCGACCCCGUGAAGUUGGAGUCGCUAGUAAUCGCAGAUCAGCAACGCUGCGGUGAAUACGUUCCCGGGCCUUGUACACACCGCCCGUCACGUCAUGAAAGUCGGUAACACCCGAAGCCGGUGGCCUAACCCUUGUGGAGGGAGCCGUCGAAGGUGGGAUUGCAAUU
rnacentral:rRNA from 1 species